UUAGAUUUUAUUUAUUAAUUUUAUUUAUAAAAAUUUUAAGUAUUAAAAAUAAUUGUAAAAAAAAUAGUUUUAGUAUUGUUUAAAGAAAAAAUAAAUUUAAUAAUAGUUUAAUAGUAUUGUGAAAGAAAAUUGAAAUAUUUUGAAAAAUUUUUAUUUAAAAAGAAAAUUUAAUUUAUUGUACCUUGUGUAUCAGUGUUUAUUAAAUAAAAAAUAUUUAAUUUAUUUUUCUCGAUUUUAAAAGAGUUAAUAUAAUAAAAAAGUUAAUGUGAUAAAAUUAUUUUUAAUAUUAUAUUGGAAAUGAAAUGUUAUUCGUUUUUAAAGGUAUCUAGUUUUUCAAGAAAUGGAUUAAAUUCAGAAAUUAUAAAUUUAUUUAAAAAUUUUUUUAAUUAAAUAAUUUAUAAUUUUAAUAUUUUAUGGGAUAAGCUAUAAAAUAAAUUUUUAAAAAUAAUAAAUAAAUUUAAUAAAUAUAUGCUUAGAAUUAGCAAUUGUUUAUAAUUAUGUUAUAAUUUAUUUUAAGAAUAAAAUUAUUUAUUAAAUUUUAAAUAUUUAUUGAAAUAUUAAUUUUAAUUUUUUAAAUUAAUUAAUAAUGAUAAAAUUAGUAUAUUUUUGUUGUAAGAUAAAUUUAAAUGAAAAGUUUAUGUAAAG
rnacentral:rRNA from 1 species